rnacentral:rRNA from 2 species
CACCCGUUCCCAUACCGAACACGGAAG